AUGCGCCAGCUAUCUCAAACAAGUACACUACCAUGGUUACUUAUUGGUGAUCUGAAUGAAAUUCAAUUUCUGCAUGAGAAAGAGGGGGGGAAUCCACGUCCCCAACAGUAUAUGGUGGCUUUCCAACAAGCGAUUGAUGAUUGUAACCUGCAUGAUAUGGGCUUCGUUGGAGAUAUAUUUACAUGGCGCAGAGGAAGGAUCCGAGGAAGGUUGGACAGAGGUCUCGUGAACGAUGGAUGGUCUAGUUUAUUUCCCAAUGCAAAUCUGGAACAUUGUAACUUUAACCAUUCUGACCAUAGACCAUUGCUGGUUGAUACUGAUUUUUAUCAAGGA
rnacentral:rRNA from 1 species